CAUUUGGGUUUGCAAGACCUAUUGUUUGUAAUUGAUGGAUUGUUUGAACGUUUUAGAGCCAGUGAUGUUGCUGACUAUGAAUGAAGUGAUUUGUCUACAACUAGAGCCAUGCUUGAAUGGGCUUAGUGCAGAUGUCAGCUUUUACUUUUUGCACGGAUGUUGAAUUAGAAACUCAGUGCACUGGCUGAGAAGAACAACAACUUAUUUGAUUGAACAAUCUUGCAAGACCUCUUGUGGUGCUGUCUCUGGCUAGGUUUGAGUCCCCGUUUAGCUGAAGUAAGCUAAUGAUCAAGAUAUAUACUCAUGUUGUCAAGGACCUUGGUAGUUAGAAUGGUCUCCCACCUCUAUGGACAGGUGACUGGAAGGUAAAAUUUUUACAUAAGCAAUGUUUGCUUGGAAUUUGAUAUCUUUCAAUAAACUGCAAAUUCGACUUGUUGAUUAUCUGCUAGACUCUCUAAUUUGAAUUCUAUUUUGUUGAUUGUCACAUAGAUUUAUGUGAAUAUGAUGGGACAGUUGUGAUCGGUUCUUGUAUGUGGCUAAUGUGAAUUUUUAAAAAUUAAAAUAGGACAAUUUCAAAGUUUUUUACAGCAACUGCUUUAAAGUUUUGUAAACUGUAUGAUAUCAGGCAAAUUUGCAGGGAUGCUGAGACUGGAUGAAUAUUCUGCUGAUAUUGUUAAUUUGUUGGUUGGUUGUGGCCGAUGAUGAAUUUGUC